CCCGAGCUCUGUUCGUCCAUGAGUCAUUCCUCACCCUCACGCUCUGCCGCCGACACCACCCUCUCCCCCGCAGGCGACCUCCUACCCUCCGCACCCACCCCUACCGCCGACCUCCUCCCCCUCUCCUCCAUCCAUCGCCGCCUCCCCACCCUCUUCCCUCCCCCCUCACCUUCUCUCACUUUCCUCGGUCCCAAAUCGAGCAGGGCGGCCAUGGCACUCCCGCCGCAGCGGUGCUGGCUGCCGUGACCACGGCACGGAUCCAACUCGGGCUCCACGGAUCCACGACUACGGCGGCGCCAGCGCCCCGAUGCAGGAGGCUCCGAACCCUAGCCGGAGCGGGUCACCGGCGCGGCUCCGGACCCUAGCCGUAGCGGGUCACCGGCGCGGCUCCCGCACCUCCGACGGCCAACAACAUCAAGGGGAUCCUGCUCGCGCUCUCCUCCAGCCCCUUCAUCGGCGCCAGCUUCAUCAUCAAGAAGAAGGCCGCCUCCUACACCGGCGUUGGCGUCGGCAUCAAGGCAUGGAUCAAGCCCGUCAGAAUCGAACUGAUUGUCAUCCGGCUUAUUUGCGAUGGGGCAACGCAAAAGAAUCGCAACUCUUGAAAGACGAGAGGACGAAUAUGCGCUGCUUUGUAUCAGAUCUGAACCACACGGCAUGUCGUACGUAGGUCUGGAGCACGAUGCAUACCAUGCGGAGGAAAUGACGCCAGAGCAGCUAAUCACAGAGGAGAAGCACAGUUUCUUGUAUGUACCCAUGAAGGUUGUCAUGGGCUCCACAUGCGUCCUAUUGUUGGCCCUUGAUGCGGCGCCUCGGCCUCCCAUAGAGGACCGGAAGCUUGUGGUAGGAGGAGCAAAAGCAUCUCUGAGCCCUUCGGCCCUUCUUGACGAGCUGCACCUCAUAGUUCACCUCUGGAAUCCAUGCUUUGUUUUUGUCGCUCUCUGGUUGCAUAUCAUGCCAAAUUGUCUCUGGCCUGCUCGCUCGUUGUUUUUUGUCUCAUUUGUCUCUCGCUAUGGAAGAAAUAUAAGAGUGUUUAUAUAGUACCCUGUUCUAGCAUUAUUGAUGAAUUGUAUUCGGAGACUAAUAUGAUGAAUUUUAUUCGGAGAUUAA